GGCCCGUGCAGAAGAAUUCUCCGGAAGCUUUUAAAAUUUUAUUUUUUUAAAAAACCCGAUUUGAAAAGAGAGUUUUUAAAUGGCUUUGUAUGGUAUUUUGUAUUCUCCACCCAUCCAGACGGGCAGAGGUGCAUCUAGGUAAUUUUGGAGCCUGGACCUAGCGGCCGUUGGAUCUCCCUCAGCCCCCUGGAAAUUAAGCAUCAUCAUGCUCAGCUGGGGGACCACACCACCCGGGACAUAUUAAAGAGGAUUUGGGGGGCCCCCGGAGCUGUGUGGGCCCUGGACAUUGGCCCGGAAGCCCAGGGGUCGCUGAGCUCCAGGGAGAGACGCACAAGAGCGAUUAGCAGCAGAGAAAUAACAGCCGCGCAACUUGGUUUGCGCUGUUCCACCAAAGCCUGGAGUUCCUUACAGCUUGCUUUAGAGAAGGGCUUUUAUUGGGGAUUUAAAUCUGCCACCCGACUCAAUGGAUGGUGUUGCUUCCUGCUAACUGCGAGGCAGGGCUCCCUGAGCGAAUACUGAUUAAGAAAAGUGAAUAACCAUCUCACUGGCCAAAAAAGAAAGAAAGAAAGAAAAGAAAAAGGAUUAAAAACACUUAUUAUUGUAUGCUUGUAAUCAUUACACACAUUUUGUCAUGAAGGUGAAAAAAAGGGUAUCUGGGUCCAUCGCUCUCAAUCAAUCCUGGCUUGAAAGAAAAAUGCAUCUUCUUCCCCCUAUUUCUCGCUGCUCCCAUUUCUAUCCCCUUAUUCUGUUGCUCCCCUUGCAUCAUCUUCUAGAUUGUAAGCCCCUUGGGGGCAGAGACCUGCCCCCAUGUCCUGAAAUAAUUGCGCCAUCUUCUCCGGUUUCCUCUUGUCUCCAUUUCACACCCUCUCUUAUUUCCCCUGUGUCAGGUGUUUAGAUUGUAAGGUCCUGGGGGCAGGGGCCUGUCCUCAUGGUACUUGUACAGCAUUAUGCACCGAGGAUGCUUUAUAAAUAAAUUCACUCUCAUUUUUAAAAGCCCACAAGACGGAGCUUCAAAACUCCACCCCUCCAGCUGUUGUUAAGACAGGCCUAGGGCUGCCAUAUGGGGGAAAAAGCAGGUCUCCUGUGCCUUUAAGAGAUGCACAGAAGAGGGAAUUUCAGUAGGUGCAUCUUUUCUUCCCCUCCACGACAAAUAUCUAGGUGUGGGCUUGCGCAUGAUAAUGAAAGUUAACCUUCUCCUCGCUGGAGGGAGGCUCUUGCUGCAGUCGCUCAGAGCAGACUUUUCUGUGGUGGUGCCCUAGUGAUAGAAUGCCUUCCCCUAGGGAGGCUCAACUGGGCCUUUUCACUGCUGAGUUUUAGGAGAACUACACUCCAAUUAUCUCAAUUGCUGGGGCAGUGGAGAAUAUAAGGGAGAAAGGGGCAUUUAAAUGAUAACCGCUGACUUGUAUGGAAGAAAAGGCAGGUGGUAGCUGAGAGGAGUGCACAGGAGAAAGUGUGUGUGUGUGUGUGUGUGUGUGUGUGUGUACGCAUGCUCAGCCACUCAUGCUUUAGUAACAUCCAAAUUAGACUACUGCAAUGCGCUCUAUAAGGGACUGCCCUUGAAGACGGUUUGAAAGCUUCAGCUGGUCCAGAAUGCUCUUGCAAGAAUGUUCAUGGGUGCAAGUUGCUUCAUUAGUGUUACACCCAUUCUGAGGCAGCUUCACUGGUUACCAGUCCGCCUCCAAGGUGGAUUAAAGAUGCUUUAAAGCCCUAUACAGCUUGAGGCUGGGGUACCUGUACCUUUGCCCAUACCAUCUUGCCAAGGCCCUCUGUCCACAUUUCAGGCCCUGCUCACAGCCCAACCACUAGCGGAGAUCUGGUUGGUGGAGACAGGGCCUUUUCGGUUGUGGCUCCUCCGCUUUGGAAUGCCCUCCUGGAAGAGCUUCGCCAUAAAAAACCCCAAUUAAAACACACAACUUUUUAAUGUUUUAUCUGCUGCUUAUAUUGGGUAGGUCUUAAUUUUUUUAGUUCUUCGUUUGUAGCUUUUUACUAACAACUUUUAAUUUGAAACUGUUAAAAUGUGUAAUUUUAAAUGCGGCUUUAGCUUGGUCUUUUAACCCGUUUAAUUUUAUUAAUUUUUUUACUUUAUAUUGUAUCUAUUUUAUUAAUGGUGUGAGCUGCCCCGAGCAGUAGUGUACUGGAGAGUGGGGUAUAAAUGUUUUUUAAAAAUAAAAUAAUAAAUGUGUGUGCAUGUGCAUACAUGUAUGUGGGUAUACGCUUGUGCACGCAUGUCCAUGUUUACGUAUUUACUUUUCAGGUUUUAGUGCAGGCAGCCUCCUGCAAGAGAGGAAGGUACACUGUGUCAGACGCCCAGAGCG